GAGCCGCUUGCUCGAGCUUACUCUUGUUUUGUGCGUUGUCUUCAAUACAUCUGUGCUUUCAUUACUUCUUUCUUCUGUUGCUUUGUUUUUCGUUGCUUCAUUUUUUUUGUUACCUUGUUUGCUCAUUUUGUUCAAUUCUUUGCUCAACACCCAAGAACCUGCACAACUCUGGUAACAUUUUGGAGAGCCAGCCAAGAGAGAUGAAGGCAAAUUAUGGUAAUCCAGCUGAAAUCCAUGGGUAGUUUCUCACCAUAACCUUGUAACUGACCUCUGUCCUGUGAAUUCAGGAGUGGAGCUGAGACUUGGCAAAAUAUUACAUAUGUACUCUGAACAGAACAAAAUUCAGAGGAAAUCUUUCUUCUUGGCCUGUGGACAUGACUCUGACUAAGCAUUUUUAUAAAGAAGUCUAGGAUCUUCUUCCUAUGUGGCUAUGUGGAGAAAGAAAAGCCCUAGAGGGUGAGAGAUCACAGGAUGGAGAAAGGCACCAGGAGAAGAACCAAGAUACCCUAAUACAAAACUAGCACCAAGUCCCCCAGAUAAGUAGGUUAAAGAUGUGACAUUUCCUAACAGCACCAAGGAAGGAGCACCAGAGAACAUGAAAAGGCACUCAAGCUAAGUGGUCUGUUGAACUUUGCAUAUCUUCCUCUUUGUCAAUGAAAGAAGGCAAAACCAAACCUAAAUGAAACAAAACAAAGAACUACUUACAAGGAGUUUUAAAAUAUCUCAAUCUCUGCGUUACUUAUGUAACCCACAGAGUAUAUAGAUGACCACUUAGAGGUAUUCCUACUAUUAACAAAGGUAUUAGUAUCUGUGUUUUACCCAUGAAAAAUUAGAAACUUAGAAAAAUAUCUUGUUCAGUUUCACACUGGUACAAUAUGAGGGUAUGAAAGUUGUAACUGACUCUAAAGCUUGAGCUAUUUUCUUAUAGAUAUAAUUUAAAUAAUGUCUAUCAACUUUCUUGAAAUAUUCUCAUUGUUACCUAAGAAUUUAAAAUAUUGAUAUGCAAUUGAUCUAAGAGAGGUUAAACAUGAAUUGGAAAUUCCUUCUCCGAUAUCAGGUUUGAUUUUUCACAAAUAUCAAUGUUUAUGAAAGUAUUCCUAAAAUUUCAGGUAAAACCACCCAAUAAUAUGACUGUGAAAAAUUAUGCUUCUUCCUCUAUGAGCUACUACAUUCUUAAAUUAUCUGAGCAUUCUAUUAAAACUUAAAAAAAUGCUUAACUUGAG